CAGCAGCCGCGGUAAUACGGAGGGAGCUAGCGUUGUUCGGAAUUACUGGGCGUGAAGCGCGCGUAGGCGGUUACUCAAGUCAGAGGUGAAAGCCCGGGGCUCAACCCCGGAACUGCCUUUGAAACUAGGUGACUAGAAUCUUGGAGAGGUCAGUGGAAUUCCGAGUGUAGAGGUGAAAUUCGUAGAUAUUCGGAAGAACACCAGUGGCGAAGGCGACUGACUGGACAAGUAUUGACGCUGAGGUGCGAAAGCGUGGGGAGCAAACAGGAUUAGAUACCCCAGUAGUCCCUGUCUCUUAUAC
rnacentral:rRNA from 1 species